AUUGAACGCUGGCGGCAGGCCUAACACAUGCAAGUCGAACGAGUGGCGGACGGGUGAGUAAUGUCUGGGAAACUGCCUGAUGGAGGGGGAUAACUACUGGAAACGGUAGCUAAUACCGCAUACCAUCAGAUGUGCCCAGAUGGGAUUAGCUAGUCGGUGGGGUAUCGGCUCACCAAGGCGACGAUCCCUAGCUGGUCUGAGAGGAUGACCAGCCACACUGGAACUGAGACCCGGUCCAGACUCCUACGGGAGGCAGCAGUGGGGAAUAGUGCACAAUGGACGAAAGCCUGAUGCAGCCAGGCCGAGGGUGUGAAGAAGGUCUUCGGGUUGUAAAGUACUGUCGGUGGGGAGGAGUUACCCGAAGAAGAAGCUACGGCUAACUCCGUGCCAGCAGCCGCGGUAAUAC
rnacentral:rRNA from 1 species